rnacentral:pre_miRNA from 1 species
GAGACACCUUAUGGGGUAAGACUUGCUUCAGUGAGGCUUUGGUGCUCACUGAGUCUGCUCCCUGAGUGUGUCCCU